rnacentral:rRNA from 1 species
UACGGAGGGGGCUAGCGUUGUUCGGAAUUACUGGGCGUAAAGGGCGCGUAGGCGGCUUAACAAGUCACUUGUGAAAUCUCCGGGCUUAACUCGGAACGGCCAAGUGAAACUGUCAAGCUAGAGUGCAGAAGGGGCAAUCGGAAUUCUUGGUGUAGCGGUGAAAUGCGUAGAUAUCAAGAGGAACACCUGAGGUGAAGACGGGUGCUGGGCUGACACUGACGCUGAGGCGCGAAAGCCAGGGGAGCAAACGGG